AGGGCAGUAUCCUGUUUGGAACUGCACCAAAAAAGUUUCAUGUUGUCAUUAUUAAAAGAUUGAUUCUGCCUUGAUCCAAAAGGACUGGGACAGAGGG
rfam:Aeribacillus pallidus strain 8m3 NODE_3, whole genome shotgun sequence.